GUCGACGAUGAAGCUGGAGCUUGCUCCGGUGGAUUAGUGGCGAACGGGUGAGUAACACGUGAGCAAUCUGCCCUUGACUCUGGGAUAACUGCGGGAAACUGUAGCUAAUACCGGAUACGACACCUUGGGGCAUCCCAGGGUGUGGAAAGAAUUUCGGUCAAGGAUGAGCUCGCGGCCUAUCAGCUAGUUGGUGAGGUAAUGGCUCACCAAGGCGACGACGGGUAGCCGGCCUGAGAGGGUGACCGGCCACACUGGAACUGAGACACGGUCCAGACUCCUACGGGAGGCAGCAGUGGGGAAUAUUGCACAAUGGGCGAAAGCCUGAUGCAGCAACGCUGCGUGAGGGAUGAAGGCCUUCGGGUUGUAAACCUCUUUUAGCAGGGAAGAAGCGAAAGUGACGGUACCUGCAGAAAAAGCACCGGCUAACUACGUGCCAGCAGCCGCGGUAAUACGUAGGGUGCAAGCGUUGUCCGGAAUUAUUGGGCGUAAAGAGCUCGUAGGCGGUUUGUCGCGUCUGCUGUGAAAAUCCGAGGCUCAACCUCGGACCUGCAGUGGGUACGGGCAAGCUAGAGUGCGGUAGGGGAGAUGGGAAUUCCUGGUGUAGCGGUGGAAUGCGCAGAUAUCAGGAGGAACACCAAUGGCGAAGGCACAUCUCUGGGCCGUAACUGACGCUGAGGAGCGAAAGCGUGGGGAG
rnacentral:rRNA from 1 species